GACAGAGGGUGCAAACGUUGCUCGGAAUUACUGGGCGUAAGGCGCGUGUAGGCGGAUUGGUGUGUCAGAUGUGAAAUCCCUGGGCUCAACCCAGGAACUGCACCUGAAACUACCAGUCUUGAGUGGUGGAGAGGGAAGUGGAAUUCCUGGUGUAGAGGUGAAAUUCGUAGAUAUCAGGAGGAACACCAGUGGCGAAGGCGGCUUCCUGGACACUAACUGACGCUGAGACGCGAAAGCGUGGGGAGCAAACAGG
rnacentral:rRNA from 1 species